GAUGAACGCUGGCGGCGUGCUUAACACAUGCAAGUCGAACGAUGAAGCCCAGCUUGCUGGGUGGAUUAGUGGCGAACGGGUGAGUAACACGUGAGUAACCUGCCCUUCACUCUGGGAUAAGCCUGGGAAACUGGGUCUAAUAACGGAUAGGAGCGUCCACCGCACGGAGGGUGUUGGAAAGAUUUAUCGGUUUUGGAUGGACUCGCGGCCUAUCAGCUUGUUGGUGAGGUAUUGGCUCACCAAGGCGUCGACGGGUAGCCGGCCUGGGAGGGUGACCGGCCACACUGGGACUGAGACACGGCCCAGACUCCUACGGGAGGCAGAAGUGGGGAAUAUUGCACAAUGGGCGCAAGCCUGAUGCAGCGGCGCCGCGUGAGGGAUGACGGCCUUCGGGUUGUAAACCUCUUUCAGUAGGGAAGAAGCGAAAGUGACGGUACCUGCAGAAGAAGCACCGGCUAACUACGUG
rnacentral:rRNA from 1 species